AUCAAAUGCAGAUACAAUUUAUCCAUAUUGCUAUCAAGUACACUGUGACAAUUCACUUAAUUUUCUUAAUUGAUUUUAGGCUAUAUUUAGCUUCUCUCACGAAUAAUUUUUAUUUUUAGGAUGACAACCGUUUUAAGGUCUCAUAAAAUAUUUUAUUUUAUUGUUCUCCGCUAAAUAUCAAAAAACACCAACUUUUUCGCUGCAAAAUUUGGCAGGAAAAUCUCUUUUCCGUGCAAUAUGUUUUAAGGCAA